rnacentral:lncRNA from 1 species
AGAGUGAACACUGCUGCUUAUUAUUAUUAUCAUAUCAUCGCGAGUUGAGGAUUUCACCAGAGUACAACAAACUCACGCAACAAAGAUUUGCAGCCAACGACAGUUUUAACCAAGCAUACACGAUUAAGGCACAAGGAUCCGCAGAUGCUGCGAGCAAACAGGGUACAAACGCAUGGCAAUCGUGGUGGCGCCGGCGUCCCGUCCCGGUGGCGGGGACGGGAUCCGGCGACGCCUCUCCGACUACUUCUUGCCGUCCUUGCCCUUGGCGUCCGUGGAGGUGCUGCUCCCGGAGGCCUGCGCCGCCUUCUUGGCGUUCUUCUCCUCCAGCGCCUUCUUGUCCCUGAAGAAGACGCAAGAACCGGAUCGGCCAAGAUUCGAUUGAACCGACGGUGGCGCGGCGGAUUGGAUCCGAUCGGGAAAAAGGAAAAGGGAAGGGGGAGGGGACGAACCUCUCGCGGCGCUGCUCCGGGGUGAGGCCGUCGCCGCCGUUCUUGGAGUUGGGCUUCCGCGCCGCCGCGCGCUCGCGGUCGCGCUCCCUCUGGCUGCCCCGUGCCCGCCCGCAGAGAAAAAAGUCAAGGAGGAAACAGAUCGAACAAGCAAAUCACCACGACGCGAACGCUGAUUCACAGAUGCAAGCAAAGAUUUUGGAUAAUAACAGAUCUAAAUUGAGAUUGAUGGGGAGGAUAUGAGUCAUCUUCUUGCUUGAUUCCCUUCCGCCGGCGGCGACUCUCUUCUUGUUGGGGUUCUUUCUCUCCUCUGUCUCUCUCUUCCUUCCUGCUUGAUUCCCUUCACGCGGAUUGGGUUGUAGAGCACCGCGGGAGAGGAGGCAAGCGGCAGUAGCCGGGCCUGAGGCCUGGGCCUGGCACGCUGCACCGAGGCAACAAACGCGGCCCAGCAGACACGAGCAAGCCCUCCAAAAAAAAAAGAACAGACAGGAGCAUGUCGGGAGGAGGCUGAAGUAUUUUUUUUUUGGACGAAAUCACUAGUUAUGGGUUAGGACAUCUUCGACGCCGCCCCUCAACCCGUCUGCAUCCGGCUGUGCCAAGUGAUGAGGACGUAUUUUAUCAUCCAACGUGGGUAUCCUAUUGAUUCGGGGGCGGGUUCAAAAGUCCGUUUGCCCAUAAACAGGAGGCAAAGUUUGNNNNNNNNNNNNNNNNNNNNNNNNNNNNNNNNNNNNNNNNNNNNNNNNNNNNNNNNNNNNNNNNNNNNNNNNNNNNNNNNNNNNNNNNNNNNNNNNNNNNNNNNNNNNNNNNNNNNNNNNNNNNNNNNNNNNNNNNNNNNNNNNNNNNNNNNNNNNNNNNNNNNNNNNNNNNNNNNNNNNNNNNNNNNNNNNNNNNGGACAUGCCCGACCCACUUAAGUCCUUCUCUCAGUUCACUUUUCUUUCACUCAGCCACUGCUUGCUCCUCCCUUCUCUGCACCCUCCACAUCCGACGUCGUCGAUGUACCUCUCCAGCCGCCACCUAGGCAUCGUAGGAUAUCCACGGCCCCCAGCAACGCGCCUACCUGCCUUGGGCUAUGCGACCAUCCACCCAGGAUCCCUCCGCAGCCAGGUCCCCCCCCCACCCGGUCAGCGACGUCCAUGUCGGACAUCACGCCCGCCAGGUGCUUGGUCAAAUGGCAUUGAAAUCUUGUGUUGAACUUCUCGUCGUUUUCUAGAUGGAGAAUGAAUUUCUAUGCUAUGUGUGGUUGGUCACAUUUUCGGACUUGUAGGCAUGAAUCCAAGGGGCUCGCUCUUUUGGCGACACGUGCAUGCUUCGUUUCAUUAGCAAAAGAAUUUCACACCCUACGACAUGCACGUCAUCCAUGAACGCAAUGUGAAGUCGAUAUCGCAUGGAUGGUACACCGUCUACAACUCCUCAUAAAUUUUUACUGCGAUUCACCGGGUUGAGACAAUGUGGCCAUGGGGCUCAUCAACCAUGGAGAUCAUAAUUUUUCCUUCAUGCUGUUGUAUAUGUUGGUUAAUGCACUCAUUCACUCAAUGUUGCUUUAUGCAUUGUAUAGCCUGCUCGCCCUGCAGUGGUGUGAUGUACUACAGGACCAAGGGCAUGCCAUUCACGCACAUACAGUGUUGGAUGGAACCAUCUUUAUAAUAGAUGUUUUUUUGAAGGAAAAAAAGCAUUGCUUCCAAUCGAAGGACUUCUCCAUCGAGCAACACGUGGAUUCUUUUAGAGCAUCUUCAAGAGCUUCCCAAUGAAUAAGGGAAAAUUUUGUUUUGCCACUCCAGAUUUUGCCAAUUUUCCUUAUGCCACUCUAGGUUUUGACAUUUUACUUUUGCCACUCUUAGUUUUUGACAAUUAUCACGAUUCCCAUUCCCGUGGCAAAAGCAAAAUUUUCAAAGUGGCAAUUGUGAUAAUUGUCAAAACCUAAGGGUGGCAAAAAUGAAAUAAAGUUAUUUUGCUUUUGCCACAGAAUGGCAAUUGUGAUAAUUGUCCAAAACUAAGAAUGGCAAAAGUGAAAUGUCAAAACGUAGAGUGGCAUAAGGAAAAUUGGCAAAAUUUAGAGUGGCAAAAACAAAAUUUUCCCAAUAAAUAUCCCCCAAUAAGUCCCUAAUACCUACAACGCUCAGGAGAUUUUCUACACUUCUAAUAUAAAGCUAGUUCAUAUCAUUCUUUGGCUCAGAGACGAUAUUGGCUAAACAGUUCUUGCUUGUAGCGCCAUCUUCUUUCAUGUCAGAUACCACGUAGUAGGAGAGCAGACCAAAAAAAUCCCAGAGUGGUGUAUAUACUCGUAAAAUCAUUGAGCCUUCUUGUUCCUCGAAACCUACUCCUGCAGGGUGAUAACAACAGACAAAACUCAAAAAUAAAAAAGAGGGUGGUGGGAAUAGAGCAUAGUUAUGUGAAUGUUUGAGUUAUGCACCUUUCGCCCGAAAAUACUUGUCAUCAAAAUGGAUAAAAAGAUAUGUAUCUCGAAUUAAAAUACAUCUAGAUACAUCUCUUUUAUUUAUUUUGAUGACAAAUAUUUCCGAACGGAGGGAGUACCAAAUGGGGUCAUGAGGGCGAGGCUCCACUUGAGCAGCAAAUUGAGUGAUCAAGCGAUGAAUUUGGAUGUCUUUCCAGGCCAACUGUGGGUAAAGCUCUGCCAUUUUCACCUCUAUGAGCAAAUCAAACAACUCUUCUUUCUUCUUCUUGAAUUGAGAGAAGUGCAUAUUUCAACCCGGAAUUCUUGCCCUAGUCUAAUUUACAACCCUGAACUUCAAUACCAUCUAAACUACAACCCCCAAGUCUCAAAACCAGUCAGGGUUCAACCCUCCCCUCCCUAUUGACCGGUUUAGACCUGGGGUGACCAGUUUUGACUAGUCAACGGGUCCAAUUAGCAUGCCACGUCAGAUUUUUUUUUUCAAAAUUUCAAGAAAAAGUAUAUAAAAGUCUGUAAGAUCAGGAAAAAUAUAAAAAACCAAAAUUCCAAAAAAAUUGUUCGCGAUAAAAGCUAGGGAAAAAAUGUUUUUUGUUUUUUUCUGGAAAUAAUUUUUUCGGGAAUUUGAGUUUUUGGGUUUUUCCUGGAAUAUUUUUUGGAAAUUCAUUUUUUUAUUUUCCCUGUUUUAGGAAAUUGGCUUUCUUAUUUCUUUUCUUGGAUUUUCUUUGAUUUUAGAGAUUGUUUCCUUGGAUGCUGAUGUGGCAUGCUGACUGGACCUGUUGACUGGUCAAAACCGGUCAACAGAGAGGGGAGGGUUGAAUCCUAGCCGGUUUUGAGAGUUGGGGGUUGUAAUUUAGACGGUAUUAGAGUUCGGGGUUGUAAAUUAGACUAGAGCAAGAGUUCGGGGUUGAAAUAUGCACUUCUCUCUCUCUCUCUUGAAUUCCCUUUCCAGCUCGCCGCGAGGCCGUGCACCAGAUGUCGACUGGCCACACAACAGUAUCGGAUUCAUAUUAGUAUGGUUUCCUUGAUAGAAAUGUAUGGAAAACUCAAAACGGUGCCCGGGCUCAUUUGCUCCCUCUCAGCAAAAAAUUCAAAACAAAUACUAAAAAAAUUCAAAAAAUUCCAAAUUUUUUUGUGGUGGUAGAUAAUUUGACGCGUGAGGUGCGCCCCAAAAUUCAACUCAUUUGGACAUCUGAGCAGCUCUCGGCAAAAAAGACAAAUCGGGUCAAAACAGUGCGUGAACAGUAUACAUUUUUACAGACCCUGAUUUUGUCUUUUUUGCCGAGAGCUGCUCAGAUGCUCAAAUGAGUUGAAUUUUGGGGCGCACCUCACGUGUCAAAUUAUCUACCACCACAAAAAAAUUGGAAUUUUUUAAAUUUUUCUAGUAUUUUUUUUGAUUUUUUUCUAAGCGUGGGUGCAGAUGAGCCCAGGUGCAGAUUAGCCGCACUCGAAAUGUAUGUCAUACUAUGACUUAUAUCGUCAGAAAAAUACAUAAAAACAAACCCUGUCACAUAUACUGUAGUUCAGAGCCAGUGGCUUGCUUAAAGAAAAAUUGACAUUACAAAAUCGAUCCAUAUGUCCUGUCCUCAGAAUCAACAUAUGUUCAUAUAUGGCCUUAUGACAAGCAAAAGGGAGGCUAUCAUAAUUCUUAAUUUCUCACAAGGUUGAGGUCUUAGUCUCCAGCAAUUGAUCGCCGGAUCUGAAGAGCGAUCAAUGGCUGCAAGUGACUGCUGACAUCGAAGAUUUUUUAUUUAUUUCUUUGCCACAAGUCAUCAGGUCUAAGGUUAAUCGGCAGCAAUAGUGUUGCCAUGGAGAACCCUAAAUCUGGCCCCUACGCCAGAAACAAAGCCAACACUGCUGCUGCUUGAGAGGGCAGCUCCGACGGCCGGCAAGUCAGCCGGAUCUGGGGAUUUUUUGUCCAAAAAGACCCACUGCCGAGAUGAAUUACCAAAAAAGACUAUCUCUUAAUCAAUUUGACAAAAAGGACCCCUCAGCGGUGGCAGCAGGCGCGGCAGGCGACAUGUGGCACCUGCCGCCACGCCAGGAGGCGGCGGGUCCUACCGCCACCACAGGAGGCGGCCACCCCAGCCGAACGGCUUUCGUACAGUGCACCGCGCCGCGACAGAACGGGGCGGGCCAGGUGGGCCCUGCCGCCACCGGGCGAGGCGGCCAGCCCUGGCGCGAUCGCUGGCUGGCCGACAGGUCCUGCUGCGCACGGGCCCCGCCAGUGGGCCUCGCCGCCACAGCCUGAGGCGGCCUCACCUGGCCGACACUGCUGGCCGACAGCUGUUGCUGCUCGCUUGCCAAGGCGCGGGCCCCGCCGCCACUAGCGCAGGCGGCCGUUGCUGCAUGUGCGCGCUGAUUCCCCUAGCCGACAUGAGCACUGUGGUAAAUGGCGUUGAUUCCCACGUGUGUGUGAUUGCUUGUUGCUGAUGAUGCUAAUUUUCACGAUUGAGCGGGAAUCCGAUGCGGUGCGCUAAUUUCACGGGCUCGCUGUUACAAACUGGGCUGAUUCCUUGCAGUGUGGCCGACAUGAGAAUUGUGGCAAAUGGCGCUCAUUCCCAUGCUUUGAAAAUUGCUUCUGCAGGUGAGGUGACAGCACCCAAGAGCGUGAUUUCCGCGCGGGGAUAUGGACGCUGAUGCCUGCUUUUGGUUCUUUCGCCGGGGAAUCAGUCCUACUUUUGCCUCAUAGGAUGCGACGGCACUGCGAGAAUUGCUCUGGCUAUUACUUGAGCGGAUGCGACGACAUUGCGGUAAUCAGUCACUCGCUGCGGGAAUCCGAUGCUGCGGGAACCUGUAGUGCCGACACUACAGGGAUCGUAAAAUAUCCCACCUAAUUUCCUCUGUUCUCGCUUAUUUUCUCGCCAUCAUUUAUGUCUGAGCCUAUAAAAGGAGACACCGAGGCUCUCGUCAAGCCAUCCUAGAAAUCGCCAGUGCGCAAAGUGUGUAACACAUUUUUUCAAUCGAUAUGAGUUUGCCUUGUUCAGAUAAAAGCAUUAGGCCGAGGAAAAUGAAGAAUGCAAGUUUGCCUCCGGGGUUGGCAGUCCUGCGGUGUUGGUGUGGCGAUCUUUGCAAGGUGAAGGAGGUGACGGAUUUUUCAGAUUGGUUGGGCAUGAAGUUUUUCAUGUGCGCCAAUUAUGAGGAAGAUCCUGCCAUAGCUAUUUCAGAGUACGACAAGCCUCCGGUAUGCUUUAACCAUCACGAAUAGAUAUUGUUGGUAUUUUCAUUGAUUCUUUAGUAACAUUCUUGUUUCUUGUUGUAGUCUCCUCCGCCUCUGUGCAUGUACUAUCGUUGGAUUGACACGGAGAGGCCGGCUUGGGCAGUGACUGAGAUUGUGAAAGAAGUCGUCGUGCAUGGAAUAGUUUCUUUGCGGAAGAGCGACACGAGAAGGCGGAAGCUGAGGAGAAAGCAGAGCAAGAGAGAGAGUUAAAAGAAUACUAUGUGGAGCAACACCGUUUUUUUCAGAAUUUAGGAAAAAAAAACAGGGAAGAGGCUCGUCGCAUGGAGGAGCAGGAACGACAGUGAAAGGAGGCUCGUGAGGCGGAGAGGCAGAGAAAGAAAGAAAGGGCUCGUGAGGCCAAGGCAGCAGAAGAAGCUGGCGAUGGAAAAGGAAAAUAUCCACGCUGGACUCAGUAGAUUCCUGUGGUAGUAUUUUAAAUUUCACAAUCAUUUAUAUCUUUAUUUCUGCACUUUAAUAUAGCUUUAUUUCAGGAGUUAAAUGUAGCUUUAUUCCUACGAUAUAUCUUAUUUUUAGUUGUGCCGUAUCGUAAUGGAAAAAAUAUAGUUUUAGAAUAAAGUAGUGGCUAUCUUUGUUCUCGCUCUUGACCAGUGCGUAUGCAAUAGGAAGAAGCUGAUUAUUUGCAUCUGCUGCAAUCGCCACCAAUAGUGUGCCCUUGUACUUUCCAGUGAGAAAGGUACCAUCAACUGAUAAUACCGGGCGACAGUGCCUGAAGGCUUGUAUAGUCUGGGCGAAUGCCCAGAAUAAGCGGUCCAGGAUUAGCUCACCCGGGUUCUUUGGGUUUUGACGUUCUCUACGCCAAACUUGAGUCCCCCUAUUAGCACUUGCUAUCUGAUGAAGCAUUCUGGGGGCAUAAGAAUAGGCCUCCUCAUAGGUUUCAUACAAGUUCUUGAAUAUAUUUUCCUUCGCACGCCUAGCUUUGAUGUAGCUGACAGGGAAGCCAAUCUGAUUUUCUGCAUCUUUUUGCAAAGCCCUAACACUAAUGUUGAGACUUCCCUGCACAAUUGUUUCCGUCACCUGCCACAUAUCUUGCCGUCACAUUGUAGUGAUUUGAAAGAGUCCCAGUUUGCUCACAACUAUGCUGCACUAUUUUUGUGAUAUCCCAUGACUGACAUACCCCAGGCUUCAGUCUAGCGAGAACUCUUCCGCGGCAACCUUUCGCGGUGUGGAUGCAUAUGACCUUCAACUCUUUUUUAUCAGACUACUUCACUUUUUGCUGGCGGUGGAGGGCGAUUGCAUACCUAUUAAUUGCUUGGUAAGCAGACUUCUUGUCUGGGAAAACCUGCCCAACCUCCAGACUCCCCGCCUCUAGGCCAGAAACAGAGUGAAAUUCAUUUGUGAUGCUUAUAUCCUGUAAAAACCCAGGUUGUAGUGACGCCGCGCCCGCCCUCUGGGGAGGAACAUCUUCUUCUUCGCUUGACUCGGAAGACGCGGAAGAGUGAUCGUCAUCAUCGAGCGCCUCCGGCAAUCCCUCCACGUGUUCACUCAUGUCAACGGCCGCAGACCAAUAUCCUGUGUCAUACACAGGCUGGUCGCCCGUCGGUUCCGAUGGGCCGAUGUGAUGGCCAACUCGACCUCACCGCCCCUGCUACU